rnacentral:rRNA from 1 species
AACGAACGCUGGCGGCGUGUUUAAGACAUGCAAGUCGCACGGUGUCAUUUUGGUAGCAAUACUUGGAUGGCACAGUGGCGCACGGGUGAGUAACACGUGAAUUACAUGCCCUGCAGAGGGGGAUAGCCCAGGGACACUUGGAUUAAUACCCCAUGGGCUCGCAAGAGUAAAGGUGGCCGCAAGGCUGUCGCUGCAGGAGUGGUUCGCGCCCUAUCAGCUUGUUGGCGGGGUAACGGCCCACCAAGGCUACGACGGGUACCUGGUCUGAGAGGACGAUCAGGCACACUGGAACUGAGACACGGUCCAGACACCUACGGGUGGCAGCAGUCGAGAAUAAUUCACAAUGGGGGCAACCCUGAUGGUGCAACGCCGCGUGGAGGAUGACGGUCUUCGGAUUGUAAACUCCUGUCAUCCGGGAGUAAGACCUGGGCAUGAAUAGUGCACAGGGUUGAUAGUACCGGAAGAGGAAGGGACGGCUAACUUCGUGCCAGCCGCCGCCGUAAUAC